CGAGAGAUUGCUAGCUUGCUAAUAAUUCUCUAGUGGCGCACGGGUGAGUAACACGUGAGUAACCUGCCCCCGAGAGCGGGAUAGCCCUGGAAAACUGGGAUUAAUACCGCAUAGUAUCGAAAGAUUAAAGCAGCAAUGCGCUUGGGGAUGGGCUCGCGGCCUAUUAGUUAGUUGGUGAGGUAACGGCUCACCAAGGCGAUGACGGGUAGCCGGUCUGAGAGGAUGUCCGGCCACACUGGAACUGAGACACGGUCCAGACACCUACGGGUGGCAGCAGUCGAGAAUCAUUCACAAUGGGGGAAACCCUGAUGGUGCGACGCCGCGUGGGGGAAUGAAGGUCUUCGGAUUGUAAACCCCUGUCAUGUGGGAGCAAAUUAAAAAGAUAGUACCACAAGAGGAAGAGACGGCUAACUCUGUGCCAGCAGCCGCGGUAAUACAGAGGUCUCAAGCGUUGUUCGGAAUCACUGGGCGUAAAGCGUGCGUAGGCUGUUUCGUAAGUCGUGUGUGAAAGGCGCGGGCUCAACCCGCGGACGGCACAUGAUACUGCGAGACUAGAGUAAUGGAGGGGGAACCGGAAUUCUCGGUGUAGCAGUGAAAUGCGUAGAUAUCGAGAGGAACACUCGUGGCGAAGGCGGGUUCCUGGACAUUAACUGACGCUGAGGCACGAAGGCCAGGGGAGCGAAAGGGAUUAGAUACCCCUGUAGUCCUGGCAGUAAACGGUGCACGCUUGGUGUGCGGGGAAUCGACCCCCUGCGUGCCGGAGCUAACGCGUUAAGCGUGCCGCCUGGGGAGUACGGUCGCAAGAUUAAAACUCAAAGAAUUUGACGGGGACCCGCACAAGCGGUGGAGUAUGUGGCUUAA
rnacentral:rRNA from 1 species